rnacentral:tRNA from 1 species
CAGCUCAGUUGGUUAGAGCAUGGUACUCAUAAUGCCAAGGCUACAGAUUCAAUCCCUGUAAGG